CAUGGCCUUGAGACAGGAGCAGGAACCCAAAGGCAAAAAGAGAAAGGAAAGGAGGGAUUCACAGAGCAUCCCGGCUUGUAUCACCUAUGGCAUGACCAGCAGGAGCAGGGAAGGGAUUGUGCCCCUGUAUUUGGUGCUGGGCCCUGAGGAUCCGGAGGAGCCCAAGCCUGAGCAGUGGGUGUCAGUUUGUGUCCUUGGGGCUCUGGCAGGGAAAGGGAUCAGCUGCAGUAAUUGAGGAGGAGGAAUGAGAGAUCGAAGAGAGAGAUGUGCGUGCCCAAACUGCAAAAGGGGAAGCAAUGUUUUAUUCAAGAAAAGGAAACUCCCCAAGCUGAGGCAUAUGCUGGAGCUCUAAUUCAUGAUGUGUCUUGUAUGGUGUACGGCAGAGA